rnacentral:rRNA from 1 species
AGCGGCAACAGCUCAAAUUUGAAAUCUGGCCCUAGGGUCCGAGUUGUAAUUUGUAGAGGAUGCUUUUGGCGCGGUGCCUUCCGAGUUCCCUGGAACGGGACGCCUUAGAGGGUGAGAGCCCCGUACGGUUGGACACUAAGCCUCUGUAAAGCUCUUUCAACGAGUCGAGUAGUUUGGGAAUGCUGCUCUAAAUGGGAGGUAAAUUUCUUCUAAAGCUAAAUACCGGCCAGAGACCGAUAGCGCACAAGUAGAGUGAUCGAAAGAUGAAAAGUACUUUGAAAAGAGGGUUAAAUAGCACGUGAAAUUGUUGAAAGGGAAGCGUUUACGGCCAGAUCUUUUCCUGGCGGAUCAUCCUGUGUUCUCACCGGUGCACUCCGCUAGGUUUAGGCCAGCAUCGGCUUCUGUAGGGGGAUAAAAGCCCUGGGAAAGUAGCUCCCUCGGGAGUGUUAUAGCCCUAAGCAUAAUACCCUUACGGGGGCCGAGGACCGCGCUCUGCAAGGAUGCUGGCGUAAUGGUCGUUAACGACCCGUCUUGAAACACGGACCAAGGAGUCGAACAUUUGUGCGAGUGUUUGGGUGUUAAACCCUCACGCGUA